CCACCCCGCUUGCCAACAUCCUAGUAGCCGCACAUAGAUCACUGUAUAGUCCACUGGCGAGGGGGUGAUCUCCUCUAUGGGCUUAGCACAACUCGGUAGUCAAAAUAGGCCUCUGAUGCAUAGUUGUGCCCACCAGAGGAAAACUAGUUGGUAAAUGUGUCUAGAUUACCUAUGUACUCUUUUCUCUUUAAAAAAACAAAAA